rnacentral:rRNA from 1 species
GACGAACGCUGGCGGCGUGCUUAACACAUGCAAGUCGAACGGAAAGGCCCUGCUUUUGUGGGGUGCUCGAGUGGCGAACGGGUGAGUAACACGUGAGUAACCUGCCCUUGACUUUGGGAUAACUUCAGGAAACUGGGGCUAAUACCGGAUAGGAGCUCCUGCUGCAUGGUGGGGGUUAGAAAGUUUCGGCGGUUGGGGAUGGACUCGCGGCUUAUCAGCUUGUUGGUGGGGUAGUGGCUUACCAAGGCUUUGACGGGUAGCCGGCCUGAGAGGGUGACCGGCCACAUUGGGACUGAGAUACGGCCCAGACUCCUACGGGAGGCAGCAGUGGGGAAAAUUGGACAAUGGGCGGAAGCCUGAGGCAGCAACGCCGCGUGCGGGAUGACGGCCUUCGGGUUGUAAACCGCUUUCGCCUGUGACGAAGCGUGAGUGACGGUAAUGGGUAAAGAAGCACCGGCUAACUACGUG